AAACGGGAAAAACGUGCUCCUACAGCGACGGUACGCGGCCUCGUGCGCGAUUCAGGGGCGUCGUGUACGGUGGGGGGGGGAGGGCCGCAGACUCCCGUUACGAGCCCGAUAAGACCGCGGAGCGCGGUUCUCGGGUAUUGCGUACGCACGGGAAAAAUACCGUCAAUUUCGCACGUGAACGCAGCCGCCACUGUUGCGGGUGAGAAGUUUGCAAGGGUGGGAUACACAGGGGAAUUUAAUAUAUAUAUAUAUAUAUAUAUAUCUGUGAGCGCAAACGAUAGGCCGUCGCUAACGAAAAAACGAUUCUGAGCCGAAUUCAGUUGAUGGUGACGACACUUAUGUCAUAUCAGUGUGUAACGUGCGUUUUCGUGAUAACAAUGAUAGUUUAAAAAAUAUCAAUGUAAUAAAAACAGGUGACGCCGAAUAACGUUGCCGUUUGUUUUUUUUUCCGAUCUAGAUAAACGUUCGUGCUUAUCUACGGGCCCGGGGUCGGGAACCUGGUGCCCCUCAACGUGCGAUUUGCGGCUCUUGCGCCAACCGAUUCCCAAUGAAAUUGCUCGGUAAUAUUUCAUUAUGUUAGCUCGUUUUUUUUUUUUUUUUUUUUUUUUAUCUAAAACCAUUUUUUUUUUUUGUUUAAAAUAAUGACUCGUUUACGCGAAAAGGUCCCCGACCCCCGAUCCAGCCGGCGUCUAAUCAUUACGUAUUUUUUUUUUUUUCUAUUUAUUUAUCGAGAUGUUUUAAUCCGUGUCCCCGUCGGCGCUUAUGUUUACAAUCAGAACACUCUGCACUGUACGGGGAAUAUCGAAAAUCGAAAUCGCAGUUGCGCGGAACAUCAAUAGCGCUAAUACGAGCUAAUAAUAUUUGUCUAUCGGAAACGUUAUUAAUAUCUUGGCUAUAAUACACCCGAUCCGAUCGAAAUCGUAUCGUAACAGACACGAAAUAUUUCUCGGUCCCCGGUUCGCGGAAACCGAAUAAAACAAUAACGAGAAAUCGGAUCCGUACGUGUUUUUUUUUUUUUUUUUUUUCACCGGCAAAACGGAUAUUUUUUUUGUUUUCGUUUUUUUAUUGUUAUUAUUUUCUCUCGGGCGAACGCGACAUAUUAUACCGAUUCGCAUGAAUACUUUCCGCGAAACGUCGCGGAAUAUUUAUUUUCAAACUCGCGCGAACGUUCAACGAGUAAAAUAUUG